rnacentral:rRNA from 1 species
CCUACGGGAGGCAGCAGUGAGGAAUAUUGGUCAAUGGGCGCAAGCCUGAACCAGCCAUGCCGCGUGCAGGAAGAAUGCCCUAUGGGUUGUAAACUGCUUUUAUUUGGGAAUAAACCUCUUUACGUGUAGAGAGCUGAAGGUACCAAAUGAAUAAGCACCGGCUAACUCCGUGCCAGCAGCCGCGGUAAUA